GGGGAUAGCUCAAGUGGUAGAGAGCAUGCUUAGCAUGCACGAGGUCCUGGGUUCAAUCCCCAGUACCUCCU
rnacentral:tRNA from 1 species